rnacentral:rRNA from 1 species
GGGAUGUGUUGCGUGUGGCGCCAUCCUUUGAGUGUUUUGUUUUGUAGUGUUCGAGUCUAAGAUUGAGUCUAGAUCGAGUCUUAGUUUUGUAGUUAAGUCUCGGUGGGGAGACAUGGGUGUAGAGUAGUUGCAUUGCUUUCAUGUUUAAGUUUUUGCAUUGCAUUCAUGUUUAAAUUAUCGCAUUGCAUAUUUAAUUUAUGUUGUUGUUAUUGCAUUGCUUUGUUGUGUUGCUCUUGUUGUUUGAGCAUGGGCUGAAGGGGGUAGUUGUUGUUUUGUUUUGGGAACUCACUGAGUAAUUUCGAUUACUCAUUCCCUCUUCUACUAUGCAGGUAACCUUAGGGGAUUGGGCGUUUGCGGGGUGCCGAGGACGAGGCCAGGCGUAGAUUUCCGUUGUUGUUUGCAAGGCGCAAGAUGUUGAUGUUUUUACUCGUUUUGUUUUUCAUGGGUACCCGUUGACUCGUUUGUUUUUAUUUUCUGCUGCGUUUAUCUUUAAGAACUUUAGUCGAGUUCCCGACUUUGUAAAAUAAAUAAAAUUAUGUUUGUUUUAAUAAAAUCCCCGUAGAACGCUGAUAUUUGAGUUUAGUCCGAACUUAACACAACUCUUGACCGAGGAACGGGUUGGCAAGCCUUAGGCCGAGGUUGAGAGGGACGGUACAGUGGUCGGACUGGUCGAGACUUUGAAUUUGUUUUGAAGUCUUAACUGGUACGACUGCGGUACUAUCAACCCUUGUAACGCUUCCGGGACGUUCCCCGUUGGUCCGGCCUAGGACGGUCCGGGGGUGUUACAGUCGGGGGCAUUCGUAUUUCAUAGUCAGAGGUGAAAUUCUUGGAUUUAUGAAAGAUGAACAACUGUGAAAGCAUUUGCAAGGAUGUUUUCAUUAAUCAAGAACGAAAGUUGGGGACUCGACCACGAUCAGAUACCGUCCUAGUCUCAACCAUAAACGAUGCCGACCAGGGAUCAGCGGAUGUUGCUUUUAGGACUCCGCUGGCACCUUAUGAGAAAUCAAAGUUUUUGGGUUCCGGGGGGAGUAUGGUCGCAAGGCUGAAACUUAAAGGAAUUGACGGAAUGGCACCACCAGGAGUGGAGCCUGCGGCUUAAUUUGACUCAACACGGGGAAACUUACCAGGUCCAGACAUAGUAAGGAUUGACAGACUGAGAGCUCUUUCUUGAUUCUAUGGGUGGUGGUGCAUGGCCGUUCUUAGUUGGUGGAGCGAUUUGUCUGGUUAAUUCCGUUAACGAACGAGACUUCAGCCUGCUAACUAGCUAUGUGGAGGCAUCCCUUCACGGCCGGCUUCUUAGAGGGACUAUGGCCGUUUAGGCCAAGGAAGUUUGAGGCAAUAACAGGUCUGUGAUGCUCUUAGAUGUUCUGGGCGCGACGCUGCUACACUGAUAUAUUCAACGAGUUCACACCUUGGCCGACAGGCCGGGUAAUCUUUGAAAUUUCAUCGUGAUGGGGAUAGAUCAUUGCAAUUGUUGGUCUUCAACGAGGAAUUCCUAGUAAGCGCGAGUCAUCAGCUUCGCGUUGACUACGCCCCCUGCCCUUUGUACACACCCCGCCCGUCGCUCCUACCGAUUGAAUGAUCCGGUGAAGUGUUCGGAUCGCGGCGGCGUGGGGGUUCGCCGUCUCUUCGACGUCGCGAGAAGUCCACUAAACCUUAUCAUUUAGAGGAAGGAGAAGUCGUAACAAGGUUUCCGUCCGGUGAACCUGCGGAAG